UACGUAGGGGGCAAGCGUUGUCCGGAUUUAUUGGGCGUAAAGAGCGUGUAGGCGGCCUGACAGGUCUGCUGUGAAAACUCGAGGCUCAACCUCGAGAUGUCGGCGGAAACCGUCUGGCUAGAGUCCGGAAGAGGAGAGUGGAAUUCCUGGCGUAGCGGUGAAAUGCGCAGAUAUCAGGAAGAACACCUAUGGCGAAGGCAGCUCUCUGGGACGGUACUGACGCUGAGACGCGAAAGCGUGGGGAGCGAACAGG
rnacentral:rRNA from 1 species